CCUCUUCCAGGAGGGGAAGGUGCGGGUGCCCAUUGUUGUCAUGGAAUGGGAACUCACCCAUCACAAUGGGCGAAGGAGUCUUCUAAGCCCUCUGAGGAUUCUUGCCACUGGUUCCUUGCAGCUGUGACUCCCCGGGGUAAGAGGUAAAGAGCCACCAGGUCCCAGCUGAGGAAGCCCUGUGGUCAGCUCAGACAGGGAUGCGGACUGAAGCUGAAGCAGGUGUUAGUAAUUGUCGUACCUACAGACGAGGAAACUGAGUCUCCAUGAAGUGAAGUGACUCACCCACAGUCACACAGCUAAUAUAUGGCAGAGCCCACAGCAGAACCCAGACAUACUAAGGCCAAGUUCAAUGCCAGCAUAAAACAGAGCCUGCUGAAAUGCCUAGCGCUUCAACAAGGUGAACUCUUGUAGGCCAGGGGCCAAAUGACGGACAUCAUGUGCCACCAACACCACACAGAUGAAGGUGGUCGGCCAGGGCAGAGUUCUGGUUCUCCUGCACCCUAAGAUGAAAGCUAAAGUCAGAAAGGAGGGAGGAAGACAACGACGACAUUUAAAACCUAAAAACAGUGGCCAUUUCCAACUCAGUAUUUCACACGCAUUCACUUUGUCUCCACCGAUGGAGCAGAAAAUCCCUUAGAACUGAAACUUCAUUUUCAAAUAUAUUUCGCGUCUCCUCUGUAUGUAGUCUUAUGCUCUGUUAAACAAGGUAUAUGACCACUGGUUAACGUAUGUUCCAAUUUUCUCCUUUUGAAUGAUUGUUUAAAAUUCUAACAAAUUUGUCCAAGAAAAUCAAAACUGAAUAAAGAAACCUGGCCAGA